GCUUACAGCCAUACCACACUGAGCAGGCCCGCUCUCGUACGAUCUCAGAAGCUAAGCAGUGCCGGGCCUGGUUAGUACUUGAAUGGGAGACCACCAGGGAAUACCAGGUGCUGUAAACU
ensembl:rRNA 5S_rRNA 5S ribosomal RNA